rnacentral:rRNA from 1 species
GUGAAAUUGAACUCGCUGUGAAGAUGCAGUGUACCCGCGGCAAGACGGAAAGACCCCGUGAACCUUUACUAUAGCUUGACACUGAACAUUGAGCCUUGAUGUGUAGGAUAGGUGGGAGGCUUUGAAGCGUGGACGCCAGUCUGCGUGGAGCCGACCUUGAAAUACCACCCUUUAAUGUUUGAUGUUCUAACGUGGAUCCGUAAUCCGGGUUGCGGACAGUGUCUGGUGGGUAGUUUGACUGGGGCGGUCUCCUCCUAAAGAGUAACGGAGGAGCACGAAGGUUGGCUAAUCCUGGUCGGACAUCAGGAGGUUAGUGCAAUGGCAUAAGCCAGCUUGACUGCGAGCGUGACGGCGCGAGCAGGUGCGAAAGCAGGUCAUAGUGAUCCGGUGGUUCUGAAUGGAAGGGCCAUCGCUCAACGGAUAAAAGGUACUCCGGGGAUAACAGGCUGAUACCGCCCAAGAGUUCAUAUCGACGGCGGUGUUUGGCACCUCGAUGUCGGCUCAUCACAUCCUGGGGCUGAAGUAGGUCCCAAGGGUAUGGCUGUUCGCCAUUUAAAGUGGUACGCGAGCUGGGUUUAGAACGUCGUGAGACAGUUCGGUCCCUAUCUGCCGUGGGCGCUGGAGAACUGAGGGGGGCUGCUCCUAGUACGAGAGGACCGGAGUGGACGCAUCACUGGUGUUCGGGUUGUCAUGCCAAUGGCACUGCCCGGUAGCUAAAUGCGGAAGAGAUAAGUGCUGAAAGCAUCUAAGCACGAAACUUGCCCCGA